rnacentral:rRNA from 1 species
UACGUAGGCAGCAAGCGUUGUUCGGAUUCAUUGGGCGUAAAGGGCGCGUAGGCGGCCUGUGCAAGUCAGUUGUGAAAUCUCCGAGCUUAACUCGGAACGGUCAACUGAUACUGCUCGGCUAGAGUGCGGAAGGGGCAACUGGAAUUCUUGGUGUAGCGGUGAAAUGCGUAGAUAUCAAGAGGAACACCUGCGGCGAAGGCGGGUUGCUGGGCCGACACUGACGCUGAGGCGCGAAAGCUAGGGGAGCGAACGGG